CCAUCUAUCCUCGUCCUUUCUUUCUAUUGGUCGAGACAAUAAUGCUGAGGAUCACAAUUAUAGACCAUUGAUCACAAUUUAAUCAAUGGUCCAGAUUAUUUUUUGUUUGUUUCUGAUUGUCACAGUGUGACCUCACACAAUUCAACGCUCUAUCUACGCUUCCUUCUCUCUUCACAGAUCUAAUUGUCGCUUCUCUUCUUUUGUUUCCUCUCCACGUUUUUGUUGUUGUUAAUCUUAUUACUCUUUUUCAACUUUGUCUAAUUUGUUCUUAGAGCGGUUUGGUUUGAUUUUCGAAUCAAUUAUCUUAUUUCUUCUUCUCCAUUGAGCUAAUGAUUGGAUCUUAUUUACCACCACUGGUAACUUCUCUCUGUCGUCACCUAAUCUCCACCUCCACCUUCUUUCAGUCAGAAACUCGUCACCUCUCUCUCUCUCGAUCCUGAUUUCGUCUCUGUUUUUUUUGUAAAUGAUUUGCCGUGAAAGUUUGAAUCUUUUUUCGGUUUUGUGUAUAGAAAACUAGUUUUCAGGAAGAGACCGCGGGUUGAGACAGGAAGACGACGACUGUUUUGGUGUCUCUACUUCUGUAGAUCCGUAAAACCUAGAGUUUAAGGAAAGUUUGUGACAGGGAUGUAGAUGGAGUUUGAGUCGAGCAAGAUAAAAAGAGGAGAUGGAGUUGGUUCAGAGGCAAGGGAAGAGAGACAGAUAAGAAGUUUCGAUGGUGGUGGAAGAGCACAGAUUGAUGGAGUUAGUUGACGGCGGCGAAGAGUUUGGUGCUGAGAUAGGGUUAAUUUUUUUUUUAAUGUUAAACCGGUUUAGUUUUUUAGAUUUCUAAACCAGGUUUAUCUUUAAACCAUAGGUUAAUUAUGGUUUGGUUUAAUGUUUGUAAUUAGUUUUUGGUUUAAUGUGUUCUCUAAUUUUUGUAUACUGAUUUUAAUCAAUAAAUAAAAUUUAAUUUUUAUUUACGAA